GAUGAACGCUGGCGGCGUGCCUAAUACAUGCAAGUCGAGCGAACGGACGAGAAGCUUGCUUCUCUGAUGUUAGCGGCGGACGGGUGAGUAACACGUGGAUAACCUACCUAUAAGACUGGGAUAACUUCGGGAAACCGGAGCUAAUACCGGAUAAUAUUUUGAGCCGCAUGGUUCAAAAGUGAAAGACGGUCUUGCUGUCACUUAUAGAUGGAUCCGCGCUGCAUUAGCUAGUUGGUAAGGUAACGGCUUACCAAGGCAACGAUGCAUAGCCGACCUGAGAGGGUGAUCGGCCACACUGGAACUGAGACACGGUCCAGACUCCUACGGGAGGCAGCAGUAGGGAAUCUUCCGCAAUGGGCGAAAGCCUGACGGAGCAACGCCGCGUGAGUGAUGAAGGUCUUCGGAUCGUAAAACUCUGUUAUUAGGGAAGAACAUAUGUGUAAGUAACUGUGCACAUCUUGACGGUACCUAAUCAGAAAGCCACGGCUAACUACGUGCCAGCAGCCGCGGUAAUACGUAGGUGGCAAGCGUUAUCCGGAAUUAUUGGGCGUAAAGCGCGCGUAGGCGGUUUUUUAAGUCUGAUGUGAAAGCCCACGGCUCAACCGUGGAGGGUCAUUGGAAACUGGAAAACUUGAGUGCAGAAGAGGAAAGUGGAAUUCCAUGUGUAGCGGUGAAAUGCGCAGAGAUAUGGAGGAACACCAGUGGCGAAGGCGACUUUCUGGUCUGUAACUGACGCUGAUGUGCGAAAGCGUGGGGAUCAAACAGGAUUAGAUACCCUGGUAGUCCACGCCGUAAACGAUGAGUGCUAAGUGUUAGGGGGUUUCCGCCCCUUAGUGCUGCAGCUAACGCAUUAAGCACUCCGCCUGGGGAGUACGACCGCAAGGUUGAAACUCAAAGGAAUUGACGGGGACCCGCACAAGCGGUGGAGCAUGUGGUUUAAUUCGAAGCAACGCGAAGAACCUUACCAAAUCUUGACAUCCUUUGACAACUCUAGAGAUAGAGCUUUCCCCUUCGGGGGACAAAGUGACAGGUGGUGCAUGGUUGUCGUCAGCUCGUGUCGUGAGAUGUUGGGUUAAGUCCCGCAACGAGCGCAACCCUUAAGCUUAGUUGCCAUCAUUAAGUUGGGCACUCUAAGUUGACUGCCGGUGACAAACCGGAGGAAGGUGGGGAUGACGUCAAAUCAUCAUGCCCCUUAUGACUUGGGCUACACACGUGCUACAAUGGACAAUACAAAGGGCAGCGAAACCGUGAGGUCAAGCAAAUCCCAUAAAGUUGUUCUCAGUUCGGAUUGUAGUCUGCAACUCGACUACAUGAAGCUGGAAUCGCUAGUAAUCGUAGAUCAGCAUGCUACGGUGAAUACGUUCCCGGGUCU
rnacentral:rRNA from 1 species